rnacentral:rRNA from 1 species
AUUGAACGCUGGCGGCAUGCUUUACACAUGCAAGUCGAACGGCAGCGCGGGCUUCGGCCUGGCGGCGAGUGGCGAACGGGUGAGUAAUGCAUCGGAACGUGCCCAGUAGUGGGGGAUAGCCCGGCGAAAGCCGGAUUAAUACCGCAUACGACCUGAGGGUGAAAGCGGGGGACCGAAAGGCCUCGCGCUAUUGGAGCGGCCUAUGUCGGAUUAGCUAGUUGGUGGGGUAAAGGCUUACCAAGGCGACGAUCCGUAGCUGGUCUGAGAGGACGACCAGCCACACUGGGACUGAGACACGGCCCAGACUCCUACGGGAGGCAGCAGUGGGGAAUUUUGGACAAAGGGGGCAACCCUGAUCCAGCCAUGCCGCGUGAGGGAAGAAGGCCUUCGGGUUGUAAAACGCUUUUGUUCGGGAAGAAAUCCUCUGGGCUAAUACCCCGGGGGGAUGACGGUACCGGAAGAAUAAGCACCGGCUAACUACGUG